GGCUCUUUAGCUCAGUGGAAGAGCAGACGACUCAUAAUCGUUUGGUCGUUGGUUCAAAUCCAACAAGAGCCA
rnacentral:tRNA from 1 species